GUACUGAAAGGCAAUGGUGAGCUGCCUAUUUGAACCGCCUUAAAAAGCUGAUGACGCCUACUCGAAU
rnacentral:ncRNA from 1 species